UCAUAUCUACAUGCCUACAAUGUUAAUGCACCAUAUCCAUUAGAACUCUGUAUUUAAGCGCACUUGGGAUAAAUUAGUACUAGGAUGGGUGACCUCCUGUGAAGUCCUAGUGUUUUAC
rnacentral:rRNA from 1 species